CGCGAAAGGUGCCUGACAGUUCGCGCCUUCCGCUCCCCCGGCGAGUGUCGAGACUGCAUACCUGCGCGCUGUAUUAAUCACUCGAUAUUUACGCCGGAUUAUUUUUCAAAUCUCCCGCGACGCUGCAUCAGCCCCCCACACUGGACUCGACGAUCGGCAGUGAAAGUGGUGUAUACAGACGGACUAAAGCUAUGGCGACAGCCUUCGGAAGGACACGCAUGUGUGUAUACGAGAGCAGCAGAAGCAAGCAGCAAUGCCAGUAGUCGAUGAAUCGCCAGGCUACCGUACACCAGCUGUGCGGACCACGUCGCGGAGGAUAACUUUUUCUCCGAUCCACUACAGCCUUGCUCGACUUCUAUGGACUUCCAAGGAAACAACUCACUUUCGUCUGUGAGAAUGGCUCCAAAUCGUCAAAUUCCUUGGCGCCUUUAAAGACGGAAGAAGAAGAAUAAGAAGCAGAGGACCGUGUCAAAGAAACGCCAGCUCAUGCUUGACGACGAACCGCAGCUCAUAUACACGAAAUAUACACGCUUCCAAUAAUAUUUGCUUUCCCAACCACGAGCACCACUCUGCAUUAUAUAUCCCUGCGUCAUCCGGCUCACUUUUUCAAGCUAGAUUAUUAGGAGCAAUAUUCUCUGGGUCCAUCGAGCGGAUCGUGUC
rnacentral:lncRNA from 1 species